GACGUAGGGCGCAAGCGUUGUCCGGAUUUAUUGGGCGUAAAGAGCUCGUAGGCGGCCCGUCACGUCGGGCGUGAAAACCCAGGGCUCAACCCUGGGCCUGCGUUCGAUACGGGCAGACUAGAGUUCGGUAGGGGAGACUGGAAUUCCUGGUGUAGCGGUGAAAUGCGCAGAUAUCAGGAGGAACACCGGUGGCGAAGGCGGGUCUCUGGGCCGAAACUGACGCUGAGGAGCGAAAGCGUGGGGAGCAAACAGG
rnacentral:rRNA from 1 species